rnacentral:rRNA from 1 species
UACGGGAGGCAGCAGUGGGGAAUAUUGCACAAUGGGGGGAACCCUGAUGCAGCGACGCCGCGUGAAGGAAGAAGUAUCUCGGUAUGUAAACUUCUAUCAACGGGGAAGAAGAUGACGGUACCCGAAUAAGAAGCCCCGGCUAACUACGUGCCAGCAGCCGCGGUAAU